GUUGCUGAAAAUGUGACUGGCUCAAGCUGGUGCCAGUGGAAGAAACAUCUUCCCUCAAUGGGAAACACUGGUUAGCUGGCAUUGAGCAAAAUAAAUAAAAAAGGAACAUGCAAGGAACCCUCCUGAUACCCCAAAUUCAACCAGGUCUAUCGGGAAGAAGCGGAGCCUACAGCAGCCUACACAUGGUGUAACUCAAGUGCCUGCACCCAGACCAGGCUGUCCAAGUUGCUCAGGAGAGCAGCCCCAGCCUGCCCAGCUGGCCCCAACCUGCUCAGUGGUGGCACCCAGGACGGCAGGACACUGGCCCAGCCACUGAAGAUCUCUUGCCAGGAUCUCCAGCAGCAGAGAUACAUAUCUAAAACUGGAAGACGAGACCUGUAAGUUUAAUAAGCCCUGCAUAAUGGAUGUAAAACUAGGUCAGAAAAGUUAUGAUCCGUAUGUUUCAGCGGAGAAGAUACAGCAGCAGGUCAGCAAGUACCCGCUGAUGGAAGAGAUUGGCUUUUUGGCUCUUCACACAAUAAACUGUGUACAGUUUGUGUA